AUGGUCCGCCUUUAUUUCUGCUCGUCAAGGCGACACACACGCACGGCGGAUGCUUUGGACGGGUUCCAGAGCGCUCUGGAGACCUGGGCCCGGGGCUGGGCGCCCGAGGAGCGCGUCUCCGGGCCGGCGGCUGCGGGAGCUGGCCCUGUCUGGACCCCCCCACGUGGACGCAGGGCCGGGCCUCCCUCGGCUCCGCGGCUCCCAGCAGAGGGACCCGGGGGCCUCGCACCCGCGCUCCCUCCCCUCGCCGCCCUCUGCCCCGGCGCCAGGCCGCCCUCAGGGCGGGAACUCGCGGGGCCUACACAGGCCCCGGGGCCGGGAGCCCCAGAUGCUGACGGGCAGGCCCCUCCAGGUGACCCCACUGCCUCAGCGUCCGCAGCAGACCUCCGGGCCUCAGCCCCUCGCCAGCGCCGUUCCCUGGUCUGGGGGCCGGUCGGUCGUGCCCCACACACGCAUCAGCACCUCAGCAGGUGCCCUGAUUGGAAAUGGGGUCCUGCGGGCAGCGGAGGUCGAGGAGAGGUCACGCUGGAGCCAGGCGGCACCACUGCAACGCGAUGGGUCCCCGCACAGGGGAUGUUGGGACAGACGCGCAGCAAUGCGGGGGACGGCGAGUGCCGCUGCAGCCACUCGGCCGCCAGCCCAGGAGCCUCCAAAGCCGGGCCUGGGGCUGGGACGGAGCCGACCCUGCCCCGCCCUGACCUCGCCGCUGGAGGAUGGACGUGCUGUGUGAGCCCCAGGACAGGAUCCGGGACGGCGCCUCCACUGAGGAUGGGGCGGCUCAGGGGCUGUCCCCGGGACGCUGUCAGGUGCAGAGUGAGGAGGCCUGCGCGGCAGGAGCGGGUGGGCGCCGGGGCCGGAGAGGGCGCGGUGGGGACGGGUGGGGACGUGGUGGUGACGCGGUGGGGACGCGGUGGGGACGCGGUGGUGACGUGGAGAGGACGCGGUGGGGACGCGGUGGGGACGGGUGGGGACGGGUGGGGACGCGGUGGUGACGCGGAGAGGAUGCGGUUGUGACGCAGUGGGGACACGGUGGGGACGGGUGGGGACGCGGUGGGGGUGGGUGGUGACAGGGUGGGGACGGGUGGGGACGGGUGGGGACGAGUGGUGACGUGGAGAGGACACGGUGGUGACGCGGUGGGGAUGCAGUGGGGACGGGUGGUGACGCGGUGGUGACGCGGAGAGGACACGGUGGUGACGCGGUGGGGACGCGGUGGGGACGGGUGGUGACGCGGUGGUGACGCGGAGAGGAUGCGGUAGUGACGCGAUGAUGACGCGGUGACGACGUAGUGAUGCCGCGGUGGUGACGCGGGGAGGACGCAGAGAUGACGUGGAGAUGCUGCUGUGAUGACGCGGUGAUGACGCGGUGAUGACGCAGAAAUGACGCAGGCCUCUCCUGGACCGGCCCCGGGCGGAAAGGGCCGCGGUGGGCUCCUCUGGGAGGGCCCCGUGGACUGAGGCCCCCGCCGCACCAGCAUUUGGUGAGCGCAGCACGGUCGGGGUCGGUCGUCGAUGGCGACAAAAGUCUGCGAAGAGCCGUGAGGCCUGCCCGGGGCCCACCUGAGGGCAGCGGACCUCAGUGUUGGGGGAAGCGCUGGGGCCAGACGACCUGCCCUCUCCGUGCCCCCCCC
rnacentral:lncRNA from 1 species